CGGACGGGUGCGUAACGCGUGGGAAUUUACCUUGUAGUGGGGGAUAGCCCGGAGAAAUCCGGAUUAAUACCGCAUAAUCUCUACGGAGCAAAGUGGGGGAUCUUCGGACCUCACGCUAUUAGAUGAGCCCGCGUUGGAUUAGCUUGUUGGUGGGGUAAUGGCUCACCAAGGCGACGAUCCAUAGCUGGUUUGAGAGGAUGAUCAGCCACACUGGGACUGAGACACGGCCCAG
rnacentral:rRNA from 1 species